GAACGGAAAGGCCCUGCUUUCGUGGGGUGCUCGAGUGGCGAACGGGUGAGUAACACGUGAGUAACCUGCCCUUGACUUUGGGAUCACUUCAGGAAACUGGGGCUAAUACCGGAUAGGAGCUCCUGCUGCAUGGUGGGGGUUGGAAAGUUUCGGCGGUUGGGGAUGGACUCGCGGCUUAUCAGCUUGUUGGUGGGGUAGUGGCUUACCAAGGCUUUGACGGGUAGCCGGCCUGAGAGGGUGACCGGCCACAUUGGGACUGAGAUACGGCCCAGACUCCUACGGGAGGCAGCAGUGGGGAAUAUUGCACAAUGGGCGGAAGCCUGAUGCAGCAACGCCGCGUGCGGGAUGACGGCCUUCGGGUUGUAAACCGCUUUCGCCUGCGACGAAGCGUGAGUGACGGUAAUGGGUAAAGAAGCACCGGCUAACUACGUGCCAGCAGCCGCGGUGAUACGUAGGGUGCGAGCGUUGUCCGGAUUUAUUGGGCGUAAAGGGCUCGUAGGUGGUUGAUCGCGUCGGAAGUGUAAUCUUGGGGCUUAACCCUGAGCGUGCUUUCGAUACGGGUUGACUUGAGGAAGGUAGGGGAGAAUGGAAUUCCUGGUGGAGCGGUGGAAUGCGCAGAUAUCAGGAGGUACACCAGUGGCGAAGGCGGUUCUCUGGGCCUUUCCUGACGCUGAGGAGCGAAAGCGUGGGGAGCGAACAGGCUUAGAUAUCCCUGGUAGUCCACGCUGUAAACGGUGGGUACUAGGUGUGGGGUCCAU
rnacentral:rRNA from 1 species